rnacentral:rRNA from 1 species
GUCUUUUUGAUUAUAAUUUAAAGUCUAAUUUGCCCACUGAUAAUUUAUUAAAGGGCUGCAGUAUUUUGACUGUACAAAGGUAGCAUAAUCAUUAGUCUUUUAAUUGAAGACUUGUAUGAAAGAUUUGAUGAAAUAUGAACUGUCUCUUAUUUAUAAUUAUAAUUUAAUUUUUUAGUAAAAAAGCUUAAAUAAGUUUAAAAGACGAGAAGACCCUAUAGAGUUUUAUAAUUAAUUUAAUUAAUUAUUUAUAUAAAUUUUAAUAAAAAAUUAGAUUAAUUAUUUAAUUGGGGUGAUUAAAAAAUUUAAUUAACUUUUUUUUUUAUAAAACAUUAAUUAGUGAUAAUUUGAUCCAUAAUUUAUGAUUAAAAGAAAAAAUUACCUUAGGGAUAACAGCGUAAUUUUUUUUUUUAGUUCUUAUAAGAAAAAGAGUUUGCGACCUCGAUGUUGGAUUAAGAUAAAAUUUGAAUGUAGAAGUUUAAAAUUUUUGAUCUGUUCGAUCAUUAAAAUCUUACA